UGACCUGUGAAACUUUGAACUUGAGGGU
rnacentral:piRNA from 1 species